rnacentral:rRNA from 1 species
UACAGAGGGUGCAAGCGUUAAUCGGAAUUACUGGGCGUAAAGCGUGCGUAGUCGGUUAUCUAAGUCUGAUGUGAAAGCCCGGGGCUCACCCCCGGAAGUGCAUUGGAAACUGAUGGACUCGAGUCCCGGAGAGGAGAGUGGAAUUCCUGGUGUAGCGGUGAAAUGCGUAGAGAUCGGAAGGAACGUCGAUGGCGAAGGCAGCCACCUGGCAUAAUACUGACGCUGAGGCGCGAAAGCGUGGGGAGCGAACAGG